UACGUAGGGGGCAAGCGUUGUCCGGAAUUAUUGGGCGUAAAGAGCGCGUAGGCGGUCCGAUAAGUCGGCUGUGAAAGUCAGGGGCUCAACCCUUGAAAGCCGGCCGAUACUGUCGGACUAGAGUCCGGAAGAGGCGAGUGGAAUUCCCGGUGUAGCGGUGAAAUGCGUAGAUAUCGAGAGGAACACCUGCGGCGAAGGCGGGUAGCUGGGCCGACACUGACGCUGAGGCGCGAAAGCCAGGGGAGCGAACGGG
rnacentral:rRNA from 1 species